rnacentral:rRNA from 1 species
UACUAAGCGGAGGAAAAGAAACCAACGGGGAUUCCCAUAGUAACUGCGAGUGAAAGGGGAACAGCCCAGCGCCGAAUCCUACUGCUGGCAACGGUAGCAGGAACUGUGGCGUGAAGAAGGUGGUUACCGGUGUGGCUUGCCCGCGUAAGUUCUCCUGAGUGAGGCUCCAUCCCAUGGAGGGUGCAAGGCCCGUAUCGUGAGCAGCUGAUGCCGGUGUACAUCUUCGGAGAGUCGCCUUGUUUGCGAGUACAAGGUGAAGUCGGUGGUAAACUCCAUCGAAGGCUAAAUAUGACCACGAGUCCGAUAGCGAACAAGUACCGUGAGGGAAAAUUGAAAAGCACUUUGAAGAGAGAGCGAAACAGUGCGUGAAACCGUUCAGAGGCAAGCAGAUGGGGCCUCGAAGGCAAAGCAGUGAAUUCAGCUGGCAGUUGCGUGGCUGGCUGGUGUAGGGAUCGCAAGACCCUUGCCGGUUGCGUUCUGCGUAACUGUUAGUGCACUUUCGCUGUUUGUACGCCACCGCCGUUGAGCGAGCAUCCGUCGGGUAUGCCUGCGAAGCCUGAUUCCUUCGGGCGUCGGUGCUUGCGGCUAACUUUUGACGCGUUUGCGCCUCAACCGGUCAUGUCAGCGUGUGCCAGCGUUAGCGUUGGAUCGGUGUGCUCUGUAGGGCGUCGUUGGAUGACGAGCUUGCUCGGCUCCUCGACGUUCCGUAGACUCGUUGCCGGUUUUCAACGUAGGCACAUUGUAGAUUCGGUGGCGAGUAGAUGGCUGCCUAUCUAAC